AGAUAAUGUCAACUUUUCGUAGUACCGAUGAUUUCGUGUUGUUAGUUUCAAUAUCAAAACGUGUAAUUGGCGUGUAAUUGUCUGCAAUAAAAAUUCAAAUUUCCUCGUUGUUUUAUUUUUUUUAGCGAGAUAUGAUGGUUCUCAAAUCGUUAUACGCGCUACGCGCAACUCGCUUGAAAAUUAAAAUAUCGAGAAAACAACCGAACGCGCGAACACGACCAAUGUGUUCUUGAGGUGCACACUGUUGCAUAAAAAAAAACAGCACUAAACGUCGUAGCGGUUUUGCCGGACGAAAAGUUGAAAUCAUCGGUCUCAAAAAAAUCAUCCGAUUUUCAACAUUAUGGCCAUGACGUUACAUGGGUUCAGGAUAAAUAUCGAAAAGCAUAAACGAUCGAUCAAUUCGUUUUUAACGGACGCGAAUAGGUAUGGGUAGGGUCGUGUUGAACGGGAGGGAGG